GAUGAACGCUGGCGGCGUGCCUAAUACAUGCAAGUCGAGCGAACGGACUAGAAGCUUGCUUCUCUGAUGUUAGCGGCGGACGGGUGAGUAACACGUGGAUAACCUACCUAUAAGACUGGGAUAACUUCGGGAAACCGUAGCUAAUACCGGAUAAUAUUUUGAACCGCAUGGUUCAAAAGUGAAAGACGGUCUUGCUGUCACUUAUAGAUGGAUCCGCGCUGCAUUAGCUAGUUGGUAAGGUAACGGCUUACCAAGGCAACGAUGCAUAGCCGACCUGAGAGGGUUAUCGGCCACACUGGAACUGAGACACGGUCCAGACUCCUACGGGAGGCAGCAGUAGGGAAUCUUCCGCAAUGGGCGAAAGCCUGACGGAGCAACGCCGCGUGAGUGAUGAAGGUCUUCGGAUCGUAAAACUCUGUUAUUAGGGAAGAACAUAUGUGUAAGUAACUGUGCACAUCUUGACGGUACCUAAUCAGAAAGCCACGGCUAACUACGUG
rnacentral:rRNA from 1 species